CUCAAAUCCGUUGAUGCAGUUCUUCUCUGACUCCAACCUGCUGCUGCUUCUCUCUCUCUCUCAAUUUUGCUGUAAUUCUGUGAACCAUUGUUGUGCGAUUAUAUGAUUUGUGGUAUUUGCUUGAGUGAACCUGUAAGGAUGAAUCAGAAACUGAAGAUGAUGAUCCCAUGGACACAGAAGAAGCUUCCUCUAUCCUCAUCGCUGCACUGCAGUCUUUCAGCAAAGCUCUGUAAUCUGCCAUAAAAGACAGAAUGUAAGAAAGGGUCUACUUUAGCAGUUGAGAUCAAGAUGCUACUCCAAUCUAUAUAUGAAACCAAAUCAGGUGGGCUCGAUGACAAAGAGGUAAUAAGAGAUGAACUCUUCCAGUAUAAAAAGUUGAUGGUCCUAAUUAGUUUAUAGCUUAUUUCUUGAUCACUUUAAUUUACACGACAUCUCCAGGGCUUUUCGUGUUCUGUGGUAAUAUAUUUGAUUAUAGUCACAGCUUACGCAAGAUGAUUAUUUAUGUUCCUAAUUUAUCUUCCUCUAUCAUGGUGGUAGGGAAACAUCGCCGUUAGUUUGCCUGAGAUAGAAGGGCUUCACAUAAUUUUGUCAAUAGCAUUGAUCAGGAUAUCUUUUUUCUCAUUCCUUUCUAUUUGUAGACAAGGAAGAAUCAUAGAGAAUCUCGAUCCUUACACUGUAGCAGUACCUGAAGCAGAGCAAACCGCUUUCUCAAAUUUAAUAGUAGAUGGAAAGGAAUGGUUGUUUUUGUUGCAGGUUACUCCAAGAACAAGUGCAUUGUCAAGCUAGAUGUUUUAUAUUAUCCGUCCAUAAUCUGGAUGCUUGUGUAUCCUGCGACUUGGUUCAUCCUGGAGAUAUUUGUGUUCAAACACAAGUGUGGGCUGCUUGCAGGGUAGAGCAUAAUUGGAUUUUAAAGCCAUUUAUAAUGUCCCGCAAAACUAUAAGUUUGAACAAAGGUACAUUAAGUUGUGUCACUCACAUGGACAGUGUUGCCAUCUAUAAUGCCUUACAAGUCUGAGCUCCAUCACGAUAAUCUGAUUAGUGUGUCACAAGUCUGCUAUUUCUAACUAUACAAAUUCUGCACUUAUUUAGCAUUUUACAUGAUGCGUAGAUUUUUCAGAACAGAAAUAAGUGAAUCCUUUUAACCUGAUUUUGCUAUAUUAUUUAGUUUGAAGUUACUUUGUAAAUCCCAGUUUCUCCAGUAUUGUAACUCUGUGUCAAAUUAAACUGAUAUUUCUCUUGUGGACAACUUCAAUUUGUAAUAUCAUGAUUUUCUUUUUCAGAAACCACUUCAACUAGCCUAGGGCUAUGUCUAUUAGUCCUCCAGUAUUUCUUGGAAUGAGAUAACACAUGUUUCUUCAAGUGUCUACACACUACAUGAAGUAAUUAAGUUUCUUAUAGAAGUAGUCAAACCUGGAUACCAAUUUAUUGGAACAUUAUAUUUCUUAUAGAAGUAGUCAAACAAGGAUAUCAAUUUAUUGGAACCAUCAAGGAAGAGACACUCCUGGAGGGUCAGAAGUAAUGCAAUAUAUUCUCCCUCUUAUGCCUAUUUGAAAUACGGUUGUAGGGUUGUACUUUGCCACUCAUAUUGCAGUACUGAACUGUAACAUGGAUGGGGCAGGAAAGUGUGCUAAACCUUCUAACAUGGACACUGCACUUGUACGAGCUACGGGCCACUAUUGUUUGUCAUAUGGAUUGUAGAUGUAGUGGUAAUGUACCACAUUUUUCCUUUAGUAAGGAUGAUAUUUGUACGGAGUAUAACAAUCUGGUUGCUGUGAUCUUCCUAUUGUCCGUAGAGCCAGAAGAAAAAUAGAAUAAAAAUUUUCAUUAGACAAAUAAAAGAAUUGGUGAUUGAAUAUCACAUGGCUGUAAUUUUAUAUCUAUGUGGGAGCUUGACGUAAGAAUACAUGCAGAGUAUACAAGUGAAAAA